GGGCACCUCACUGAUUCUCUGAGCCCCAGCUGUCUCAUCCAGUGCCUGAUAGAAGUUAAGGCAGACGUCACUGGUGAAGUCCGAGAAUGCCGUCCUUCUGAGCAGAGAGCUCCGGACAGCCUCUAUCCAGGUUUACACGGGUGAUGAAGCUGUUCGCCAGUCGUGGGGAGCAAAUUCUCACAAAUCAACCGUGAGGGGUGGACGAGAGAAUCGAGGCCCAGGGCCCAAGACUUGAAGGCAUAUCUACAGUCUUCAAUCUGCCAGGAGCCUGUGGGUCCGUUGGUGUCCGAAGUGCUGGGCC